AGCGAACGCUGGCGGCAGGCCUAACACAUGCAAGUCGAACGGACCCUUCGGGGUUAGUGGCGGACGGGUGAGUAACACGUGGGAACGUGCCUUUUGGUUCGGAAUAGCUCCUGGAAACGGGUGGUAAUGCCGAAUGUGCCCUUUGGGGGAAAGAUUUAUCGCCAUUAGAGCGGCCCGCGUCUGAUUAGCUAGUUGGUGAGGUAAAGGCUCACCAAGGCGACGAUCAGUAGCUGGUCUGAGAGGAUGACCAGCCACAUUGGGACUGAGACACGGCCCAAACUCCUACGGGAGGCAGCAGUGGGGAAUCUUGCGCAAUGGGCGAAAGCCUGACGCAGCCAUGCCGCGUGAAUGAUGAAGGUCUUAGGAUUGUAAAAUUCUUUCACCGGGGACGAUAAUGACGGUACCCGGAGAAGAAGCCCCGGCUAACUUCGUGCCAGCAGCCGCCGCCGUAA
rnacentral:rRNA from 1 species